rnacentral:lncRNA from 1 species
GCAAAACCUGCAAAAAGAUGACAAUGUUAGUACGUGAAUGAGAAAAAAUGAUAUCUCAAUGGGAUCGCUUCUUGCAAUAAAAUCCAGAUGACGGUACAUGCCCCAUAAUCAUUAUUACGGGGUUUUAGUAUUUCGCCAGGAUUUUAUUAUAAGAAAAGGCAUCAUUAAAAUAAUCAAUCACGGCCAUCAAUCGAAUGUCCACCUUUAUUCCAAAAGUUUCGUAUGCAAAAGUGUCAUUGAUUUUUGAAAGAUUGAUUUGUGAUUUUACUCCUAAAAAAAUGAAGUGAUUUAUAUUUUGAGGAAUUUGUACACAAUGAUUUGCAUUAUAGUCCCAAAAUGUGAGAAUGAGAAAAAUUGAUAAAAAUGCAAUUUCAAUUUUUGUGCCCCAAUAUAAACUCACAACUUGAAAGUUUUUUUUUCUUUUUUUUUUGAAAUGAUUUUAAGCCCAUAACUAGAAAUUUAAACAAAACCAUGUGUUCAAUAGAGAUAAAUAAAAAAUGUUUAGAACUUGCAUUCAAAUGCUCACUUGUCAAAAGUGAUUGCUAAUUUUUCAAUCAUAAGCUUGCAUCACCAAUGGCAUUUGAUUGAUUUCCGCAAAUUUCAAAAUGAAAAUGUAAUACAAAAUGAGCAAAAAAAGGAAAUGAUACUUACAAUGGGUGCCGACCUUUGUCUCAUGCUUUUUUUUCCAAUCACAUAGAGAUGCACAUGUAAUGUAGUUCGAUUUCUACUCUAUACAGCCCAAAAUGGAGCCAUGGGAUCACAGGACUGAACCAACAUGCUCGUGGCUAGGUCGUGUUACCCAUAACUCCGGCUUCGUCAAAGGACCGACUCGUGUCGCAUGCUCGCAGACCAGGGUGGGGACCUCUAACAUCAAGAAAGAAAUUUCGGGGUUGAGAUGGGCGACUCGUACUACAUGCUUGUAGUCGGAGUGGUAUCCACCUCAACACCAUCCUAAGUAAUCCUAUGCGGCCCAGGUCCGGCGGCAGGUUGUGUGUGCUAAAGUGUAGUGCAAUGUAGGAGAUGCAGGCAUGACAAUUCAUAAGCAAUCAACACUUCAUACAUGAAUAAUAAACCAUACAUUCCUUCACCUCCCUACAAGACAAAAGUGAGCAAACACUUCCCCUUAUACCUCCCAUUCUACAAAAACAUUUAACACCUUUAAUGUUAAAGACAUACCUGGAAUCCUUGCUGCCAAACAAAAAUAUUUUUUUUGAACAAGAUUAAUAUUGGCCUAAGUCCUCUAAGGUUUAAAACCAAACCAAGUCCCCAGCGGAGUCGCCAAGCUGUCGCGACCUACCCUCGGGGGGAGGGAACAAGUUUAGGGGUAUUGCCUAAAGGACGGGCCUAAGGCCCAAGAUCAGGCGUGGGCUCUCCCAAGCCCAUACCCCGCGUGACAUUGGGAUAUUCUUUAGAAUUUUUGCACAAAAGGAGUCGCCACUAGCCUAUUGGGGUCGGCUAGAAACCAA